rnacentral:rRNA from 1 species
GCGGUGGAGCAUGUGGUUUAAUUCGACGCAACGCGAAGAACCUUACCAGGGCUUGACACUCCCCUGACCGCGUAUGAAAGUUACGUUUUCACCCUCGGGUGACAGGGAGACAGGUGGUGCAUGGUUGUCGUCAGCUCGUGUCGUGAGAUGUUGGGUUAAGUCCCGCAACGAGCGCAACCCCUACGUUUAGUUGCUAACAGGUGAAGCUGAGCACUCUAGACGAACUGCCGUUGACAAAACGGAGGAAGGUGGGGAUGACGUCAAAUCAUCAUGCCCCUUAUGUUCUGGGCUACACACGUGCUACAAUGGCCGGUACAGACGGAGGCGAAGCCGCGAGGCGGAGCAAAUCCGAAAAAGCCGGUCUCAGUUCGGAUUGCAGGCUGCAAUUCGCCUGCAUGAAGUCGGAAUCGCUAGUAAUCGCAGGUCAGCAUACUGCGGUGAAUACGUUCCCGGGCCUU